UUAGCCCACAUAGACUUCUGUUGUGCUCACUGCGUGAAAAGUUUUGAAAAAGUGACUCAAGUAUUGAGAAAUGGGUUCCUAGCGAUUGUAAAAAACUGUAAUGAUUAAUCAAUAGUUCACGAGUUCAUGUGCCCAUAUAAUCUUAGCGUAAGUGGUAAACAGAUUUGGCUUGCUGUCUGCUAUAGAGGGGCUCGGAGAGGAUAUUCUACUCAAGCUCCGAUUGCCCCCCUAUAACAGGCAAAAAUAGUACAAAAAGGAGGAGAAUGGGAGAAGGAGGGAUGCCGAAAGAACAAACAACAGGAAGAGAUGGCAAGAGAAGUCACAAACUUCAGAAGAUUCUAGAGGGAAAAGACUGAUGUGCAGCCACGGAGGAACACAAGAGGCCGAAACUAUGCAUGGCCAUGAGUAUGACCAGGACCGGAGAACGCCUGACAAUGGGAUGUUAAGACUUCUUCCUCUGGUUGAGAAAAAGCUACACCACAUCAGUGAUCACAUCUUCUGUUCAUCAGUUGUACUGCAGAGUACAACUGAACAAACUGUUUAGAAGAAGAAGAGCAUGAACAUGAUAGAGACGUGUACAGGGAAGAGCGAGAACCCAGUAUCAAAUCUGUUUUCUGGAUCAUAGUUGACUGGAUAGGAUUCUUUGGCGCUCACUUGUGCAGUAGGAGUAAAGUCUGUGAAUGGAUUAUUAUGACGUUAACAUAUUUUUGAAGACACAUUUUUAUUUAUCUUGAAUCUCAUUUGUCUUUAUGCUACUUUCAACCUUAUGCUGUAUCCUCCAAUAAAGUGUGUAAUAAAGUAUGGUGAAUAUAGUGUGAACAUGGU